rnacentral:rRNA from 1 species
GACGAACGCUGGCGGCGUGCUUAACACAUGCAAGUCGAACGGAAAGGCCCUGCUUUUGUGGGUUUCUCGAGUGGCGAACGGGUGAGUAACACGUGAGUAUCCUGCCCUUGACUUUGGGAUAACUUCUGGAAACUGGGGCUAAUACCGGAUAGGAGCUCCUGCUGCACGGUGGGGGUUGGAAAGUUUCGGCGGUUGGGGAUGGACUCGCGGCUUAUGCGCUUGUUUGUGGGGUAGGGGCUUACCAAGGCUUUGACGGGUAGCCGGCCUGAGAGGGUGAACGGCCACAUUGGGACUGAGGUACGGCGCAGACGCCUACCGGAGGCAGCAGUGGAGAACAUGACGCAGUGGGCGGAAGCCUGAUGCAGCAACGCCGCGUGCGGGAUGACGGCCUACGGGUUAUGAACCGAUUUCGCAUGUGACGAAGCGUGAGUGACGGUAAUGGGUAAAGAAGCACCGGCUAACUACGUG